GAGCUCUCCCGUCCGUCCUCGCUGUCUGAGAGCUUGAUUCCAGAAGAAAGCUGUGAAUGGUGGAUUCUUCAACAUUGACCGUUUCCAUACCAGCAUCAGAUUUACUCCACAAUGUUCCCAGAACAAUCUGAAGCUUAUGUAUUCAUAUGAUCCUGAUGACCAAAAAGCAUGAAGGACAGUGGGUGGUAACAAUAUACUUUCUUUUCAUGUAGAAUGGGGGUAGGACAAUGAAGCAUUUUUCUCUGGGGCCAGUGGCAACUCGGUAUGCCUUCUUGGGAUUCUCCUGAUAGUCAGAAGAAAGAUGUAAUGAUCUCCUGCAUGUUUUCAGUGUUUUGAGGCCAACUGAACUACAGAUACAAACCAAAUGUGUAUUACAGAACCAACCUAAUAGCUGAGCUGCACAACUUUGGAUCUUGCUGGCACAGCCUCACUCUUCUUGGUCAUGUUAGAUUGUGAUGCUAAGCAGAGAGAAUCUGAACAUCUUUAGCUGCCUCCUAUUCCAUUACUCACUUGUGAAUUAAAAAAGGAGUGAGCCUAGUUAUGUUGACUCUUCUCAAAAAGCUAAAGUGGGUUUGGACGUGAUUAGUGCCUGGAUAGGAAACCAAUAGGAAAUCUCAAGCUUGUAAAUUAGACUAGGUGGAGGUCCAAAAAAUCAAGCUGGAAGCUGCAACCGUGUAAUGGAAGCCCUGUACCUGUGGAUGCUCUGGCAGUAGAAGACAAUGGAACCCACUUCUAUAUUCUUGCCCAGAAACCUACGUAGAUAUAUCUAUACAGUCACUGAAGAUAUGCAGAAGUGGCUGCAGAGUGUGGUCAAAAGAGGCAAGGUGAUGGCCAUGAUGGUGCAAUUGAAGUCCAAACUGGAUUUACGGUAUGUGUGGUACAGCCACAGUCAUGACUUUUUUUGACUGUACCCUCUGGUCAGCUCUACAUACUGUAAUAUUAAAAAAUUGAUAAGAAUAUAAAUGCUAGACAUUUUCAACAACGCACAAGGUCCCUCUUUUUUUCAAACUUCACCCAUUGUAGGUUUUUGGCUCACAUCAGGUUUGCUCAGAUGAAAAUAUAAUUAGAUCCCUGUAAUCUGUAUCCAAAUGAGUGCAAAGGAUGAACAGGGGAAACAAGAAAAAACUGCCACGUUCCUACACCUUUAGA